UCCUAUAAAUCUGUUAAUAAAUAAAAACUAAAGAGGUUUUCUCUUCAAUUCUCUCAGUGUGUUCCAACGCCUGGAGAUGACACAUACACAGCGCUGAACCUCAUGACUGUGUCCCCAGAAUAUGACACACUGCAAAAUAUUAAAAGCUCUGCCAGUGACACUUACACCACCCUGAACCCUGCACCCAUGUGCUCUGAUUAUGAUACACUGAGGAAGUGAAACAACCUGCAACCACAGUCUCUGGGAGUAAGUGUGUACUCUAUAAGUGUGUGUUUGUGCAAAAGGAUGUUUGUUUAAGGACUGAAGUUGCAAAAAGAAUUUCUGUCUCAUGUAAAAGUCAUUCAUUUGUGUCCGUUCACUCGGUUCUGUAAUGUUGACUAAAAUUGUUGUUAAUGUCUUUGUAUUUAGUUAUUUAAACAUUUUAAAACUUUGAUGUCAUUUGUUAUUUUUAUGUCUUGUAAACUAGAACAAAAUGAUGAUAAAGUAAGGAAUACACACCUCCCUGUACAGAAAUUCUAUUUUGCCUGAUGUGUUACUGUCCAGUGUUUAAAAUGUUUCUAUGUACAAGAAUAAAAUUGAGCUUAUGGGCGUUUUGGCAGGACAGAAUGAUGUACACAUUUGAAAUGAUAACUGUGCUACCAAGGGGACCAGGGGACACAGGGUGCCAACCCAACACAGGGAACAGUCACACACACACACAUUCACACACUUUGGACAAUUUAUAGAUGCCAAUCAACCUACCACACAUCACUGGACUGUGAGAGAAAUCAGAAUACUAAGAGGAAAA